rnacentral:rRNA from 1 species
AGUUUGAUUCUUGCUUAAAAUUCCUAUGGUACAUCUGAAUAAUAUAUGAAAAUUUUUGUGAUCCAAGUGGCUUUGUCUUUAAAAGUUUGCCUUUUGGAAUCUCAAUAUAUAAGAUUAAACAAUUAAUUAAAGUUAGAUUUAAUAGGUGUAAAUAUUCUGGCAAAAUUUUGUGCCAGCCGCCGCGGUUAUACUUGGAGGAGAAGUGGGAAAUAAUUAGUUAGUAGUUAAUUUUGAAUUUAAAUUAUAAAAUUUUAUUUGUUAAUAUAAAAGGUGAAAUUAGUUUAUAUUAGUUAAUUGAAAUUUGGUGUGUUUNAAAUGAGCCUAUGAAGAUA